GGAAAAGGGUACCAAUUCCUUGGGACAGAAUACUAGCUGUGAAGGAAAUUUUGGUUGAGUAGCUUAUGACAAUAAAUCAACAUGUGCUGAAUUGUGUUCAUUGUAGGUAUGGAUCCUAAUCUCACAUGACUGCAUAAAUCAAGAGCAGCGUUAUUGAUGACUGUAGACUCACGCUGGCAUAAUAGCAAGAAUGGGAGCUGGCCGUGUGUGCAUCCAUUCUGAAUUUCUCGACAAGGGCUUAUGAGAAGUAUUAGAGUUCUGUAAAUGAAAAUUCUGCUCUCCCCUUGAUCCACAAAUAGACUCUAGGCAUGGGCUCACUGGAGAACACAUCUCUCCAGUCAUCACAGCUACACUGUCCACUUUCAGUACUGGUAGAGGGAGGACAUACUUCUGAGGCCAGCACAUACUUGUCAAUGUACAGAACAUCACAAUGA
rnacentral:lncRNA from 1 species